rnacentral:lncRNA from 1 species
CCGCGCGCCCCAGGCCUGCUCGCAUUCCUGCUUGUGGCCCGCGCAGGGGCGGGGUCGGAAGGUCUAGGCCGGGCGCGGAGCGAGGAAGCGGGUGGCGCUGGGACGCAUGCUCUGGGGGAGAUGAGUAUAAUGACCCGCGUUUGUCCGCCGCCCGUGCCCCGCUCAAUCCCCGCAUCAAUCCCGUGAGGCCGUUUCUCCCGUUGGCUCCACUGUACCGGGGGCUGAGGCCCAGGGAGGUCUCGCGGCUCCCUAGGUUAUCCAGCUAGUAAGAGGCGAAGCUGGAAUUCUCACUGUGGGCCCAUUCCAUGGCUUUUGCCAGAGCGCCAGGGACACACUCAGUUCACCUUCUAGCAGGGAAGACCCAAAGAUGCGCGCCCCUGGCAGCCAGGGCGUCGGACCAGGCAAUUCCUACUGUCCAGCAUCACCUCCUCCAGGCCUCUCGGAUGCCUCUGUUGGGACAGCUAAGUUCCUCUUCAAAGACUCAAUUUCCUGGUCAUAAGCUGUAAACAGAUUCUACUCCCGCUUUUUCUUCUUUGUCGCACGUCUACCCUAUUUGGGAAAGUUUAAACCUUAGCCAAUCGGGAUCAGCUCAGAUUGUGCGGUCCAACCCCCCAGCCAAUGGGGAAAGGACACAGAAACAGGAACUGCGUUAGGGUUAAAAACCACUUCCCUCCUUUGUUGGCGGGUGCUCUUGGGAUUGCAACCAGCGCAAGCAGCACCCUUCUGCAGAAGUAAAGAUGCCUUGCUGGGAAGUCUUCUGUCUCAGUGCUGGUUUUUCUUGACUACACUGAGCACUUGUUUUCAACAAAUUUGAGGGUCUUCUGGGAUCCCAUUCUCCUUUGGGAGGGGUAGCGAUUACUUUUCCUCGUGAGACACGUCCCACUGCCUUGUUGCAGUGGCCCAAGGAGCGGAGGAUCGGGUCCACCCAAAGUGAGGAAUAAAUCCGGACUUUCAGCAACGUGGGCAGGAAGGAGCCUUAAAAUUCCCAGGCAAGUGGGUAACUCUGUGCACAGACCAAGCUCUUGCUCCUGGAUAAUCA